GUCAGGGUGUACAAAACUGAAACUCAGUUGUUGAAAAUCACUACACGACACCAAGCAUCUACGUCUAAUAUAUAGCUGGGGACAGAAGAUGCCUCAAAGUAUGCAGUCUCACCAUUUGAAAGUCGGUAUCAAAACUGAUACAAGAAGUCCUGAAGUUAUGUCUGUGUGAAUUCUCAAGCGAAAUGACUUUGGAUACAGAAAUGAGAAAGAAGAAAACAGAUAUAACAUAGAAUACGCAGCGUCGACUGUUUCGUCGUUAGUAGGGCUGGUAGGAGGAAAACUGCAGUUCACUUAUAUUUUUGUCUGAAUUGUCAAACAGACUGUUCCUAGAAUGAAUUAACAAGAUUCAGAGAAAGCGGACUUCAGAAAGAUAUAGCGCAGUAGUAAGGAAAGCAAACGACAACGCAAACGAAAAGAGAACAAAAAAUGUAAUUUACUAAAAUCACUAAUAGUCUAUUUAUAAAACACUAACGUACGAAAACUGCAGUGUACAAGGGAUGCAGGCAACAGAGAUAAACUUAAGAAAUGGAUUCAGCAAUAAAAGUGAAGAGACAGGAAAAGACUGUAGCUGUGUUAGGAAAUGGAAAUCGUGUGCAGGAUAGUCAAACAUCGACUGAAAAGUGUAAUCGGAAAUUUCAGUAUUAAUGAACUACUGAAACAGCGAAGCAUCCUUCGGUUAUGGUUGCUAUUAUGAAGAGAAAACAACGAAUAAUGUGUACGUAUUCAGUGUAGCUGCACAGAAUGAAAAUUACUGUUGGGGGAAAUGUGAUUUAACAUUAACAAACAGGACUAAUACCUCGAAAUUAACGAGGAAGGAGAGAUCCACGAGGAGAGAAAGGGAAGAAAUAUCAGCAAUUUCGAUGUACAGUUUCAUAGAAUGCACGAAGGACGAGAAGUGCUGAAAAUAUGUUAACGUGAAAUAAAUUUACUGUGUUUGGUAUUACGGAAACAAGACUUCUGUUAAUUAGUUGUUUACAGCGGAAUACUAUGUGACGUCCGUAAGAAGAAUGCAGAAAGUGUUGAAGCAGUCCUAUUGUAUCACGAAAGGAAGAUGAAAGGAAGAAGGAUACUGGUGAAAUAAGAGUGAGGAAAUUUAAACCCGUGUAUCAUCAAAUGCUUGUACGAAAGGAAAGAAAAACUAGACGAAAUUUCUGACAGCGCAGAAGUAAUUAAACUAGAAAUAGAAAUAACCACAGAAAAUAAUAUUACAAGGAAUAAAAGAAAAAGCAAUAUUUACAGAGGUGAAGAUGUUGACUAAAGUUGGAGCAAUGAGAAUUAAUAACAAAUGAGUCAGUAAACUGAUACCUUACGCAAUAUGGAUUGUUGUUGACACUAUAAGUUCGGUAACUACAAGAUAAGACCAUCACCAACUUACAGCAGAAUCUUUGUGACAGCUGCAGGAAGGUAGGGAGAGAAGAAGCCUAGGCAAGGCACGAAACCAUCAGCGAAGGUACGAUGUAUCUUGAUAAUAAAUUGCGCCACUGAUUCUACUGACCUUCGCUGUGAAGUAUUAGCGAUGCACAAUGUACUGAGUAAAUAUGGUGAACAUAUAAACAGUUCGUUUGCAUGUAAGUGGUGACUGAAGAGUUGCCAUGAAAAAGGGAAUAAAAGUGAGGGCACGAACAAGAUUUCUGUCAAUUCCACAGUUAAGGAGUUAAUGAUACCUUUAAGUGGCGACGCUAUUGUACUUGAAAAUUUAUUGAAUUCAGUAGUCACACACUUGAGGAACAGAUAGUGAGCCCAUAAAGGAUUCGUCGUCAUGUAUGUUUUCUGUGCGUCUGCCUGAAGAAUUCGUCCUGCCUCUUUAAACGUUCCAGUGAAAAAGGAAUGUAUCCACAGAAUACGAAUGAUUUACUGUGCAUUCAACGAGAUGGUGGUAGUCCGUGUACAAACUUCAGGUCAGCUUUCAAACUACACUCCGAUAUCAUUUCUUCAGAUAUUGCAUAGCAAAUGACAAUGACAGACGUGCUAAAAAGAAUGGGAACAUUCAUAAGCAGUUAUAUUAGGUUAUUGAAAAUUGAAAUUAAGAUCUGCUUUGGUAACAGUAAUUAGUAACAGCGACAGAGCUCGAGUAGAAAAAAAUCACACGUUGUUAAACAGUUAAUGAAAAUAUGUUGUUUUCACUACUUUCAAUACGAAUACCUAAUUUUCAGGAAUCAAUUGUGUUCAUUUCUAAAGGAGUGGUUGAAUAUCAUCCAUUAUUUUAGACUUUGCAAUAUUCAGAAAGUUUUUUUACUUUAUAAUUUUUACGUUGUGAUUUCUAACAGUGCGGUGCUAAAUGACAAGUACUAAGAUAAUAAAUAUCUAUAGGAUGAGGUAUUGUAUACUUUAUAUAUAAUCUGAGAAUAAUAUUAAGUAAAAACGAGAUAACAGACAAAGUAAUGUUAAAUAAAAUAAGAGAUCACUGUGGCGUUUCGAGAGGAGGUAAGUGGAUUGCAGCCUACCAGUCACCGAUCCAACUACAAAAGAUUUGUAGGUAAAAGUGUGAUGUAAUGGGUUUAUACGGUGUAUAUGUUGUUUUGUGUAUAUAAACUUAGAUGAGAACUGUUAUACUAAAAGAAAGUAUAUGAAACGUUGACGCAACAUGACAAUGACGCUUACUAUAAGUAGUCGAAAAUGCAAGCACAGAGUUCAAGGAAUAGUCCAGAAGACUUACGCUUAUAAUAUGCAGUCAAGCUACCGAAAUUUAAAUAGCUGUAGAUCAAAGUUGUGCUUUUGUGGUGCUGAGCAGAUAUUAGACAGUUAAUACAAAAACGCAUGACGAGAAUUAUUCCAGUUGUGAAAAAGGAAAAGUAUCAUUCGAUUCCAGAUGCUGGUAAAAGGUUGUACCUAUUGCAGUAAAAAACAAAAAGCAUUCUGAUGAAAACGUUACAGCCACUUACGUGAACAAGAGUGGAAAAAGACGACUCGGAAUUGCUAAAAAUCAGACAGAAUACCUCGAAACUACAUGAAAAGUUAGUCUCUUGUGGAGGAUUUACUCAAAGUUUAUGUUGAAUGUUUUAUUACAGUAAUGAUAUUGCAGUUCUUUUCCAUAAUUAGUGAGUAUAUAUGACAAAUCAUUUUUCUGUUGAUAAUUUUUAUCAAUAACAUUAUGAAUGUAGUAGAACUUUUGUAGUUUCUCAACAAGCUCCAGUAUACUACAUUGGUGCUGCAAUGAAGAGAAUAAUAAUAAAGGAACAAAAAAUUUAAUUUAAAGUUUGAAGAAUAUUACGUCUGCUAAGGACAGUAUUCUUUUGAUGCAAUGCGUUUGAAAUUUAAAUACUGAAACUGAAGUUAUCGUUGAAGUUCGUCUAGAAAUAAUUGUGAGGUUUUUUGUGAAACAUUCGUAUACAGUAAAACUACAGAAUAUAAAGAAACAGCAUCAUUGUAUUCUGGAUAUAAACACUUUUUCGUUUUUUUUACAAGUAAAAAUGCAUUCAGAAAGAUUAUUAAGUCUUCCUUGAUAACAAAGGUAUUUUUGUAUUUACUCUUGGAUCCUGCACUGAAAGUCUAAACUUCAGUGAUACCAUCAAUUCUCCCACAGCGUUUGCCAGUUUGGUGGAUAUGAAGUUGCAGCUCAUGAAUGCAAUUAUUUAUCAACACGAUUUACAAGGACAUGCUUCAGAGGAAAAUUUGAACUUAGUUGUUGUCAUGAACUGAAUUCAUAGCUGACUGUAAAAAAGAAUUUUAAAAAAAUGUAAUUAAUUCUUUUGGCCCUGUUCAGUACAAUGAUACAGAUCAGAAAUAAACAAGGUGGAAGAAAUUACAAUGAGUGGAUGAUGUUACAAUGUAAUAACAUGUUCUGUUAAUGCAAGGAUCUGCAUGUCACUUCAGUGAUCACAGUUCCGUAUGUACAGCGUCGUAAGGAACAGGAGAUGUUAGAGUGAAGAGUGAGCAAGUAUCAACAGUAUCAAAGAGCAUGAAAUCAAAACUUGUUGCUGUACGUAGUGAAACACCAAUACGGCUGUUGCAUGAGUAUUCGCCUUUCAAAGCUCUUCGAAUGUGGAAGAUGAAGUUUACAUGUCCUCUCAUCUUGACGCAGUGAUGUUUCUCAACAUGCCGCCUGGCCGUAAGCAUCGAGUGCGCAGGAGGAGCUGCGCUCGAUGGCGAUCCGCGAGGCGGCGCGCAUGUACCUGCACCACCCGUCGUCGUACUACCUGUCGGCGGGCCCGUACCUGCCGCACACGGCCAUGUACCCGGCGCACACGCCGCCCGCCGUCUUCCCGCCGCCGCUGCACAUGGGGCCGCCGCUGCCCUUCACCGUGCCGCCGUCGCCCGAGUCUCCGCCGCAGUCGCGACCGCCCACCAUGUAGCCAGCCGGCGCAGCACAGUUGUCGUCGACCGAAUGUUGCCAGCCAGUAAGUGCUCUGGAGCCGACGACUUGCUGAGUGAUCACCACCAUCGAGGCGUCGCGAGGUCUUGGGGACAGCCCAGGCGUCCGGUCCGCCUGCCCUCUGUCGGUCGUGUGGGGCGACAUAUCCUGGAAGAAGAUGGAGAGUGGAUAUUGGUAGUGAGCAUUAUGAACUUGCUAUUUUCGUGAUCAUUCAAAUUUUAAUAUGUAAUAUGUUACGCAGGAGGAAAAGUGAAAACAUGGUUGUGUAAGGAGUAAGAGACUAAAGAUAAAAAAUAUAACCGAACUGUACCAGACUAGUGGUAAGAUGUAGUAAGGUGCUGUGCAGCUUCCACCAUGUUAAGGGUGCCACAAAUGACUUUUUUGAUGUAGCAGUAAUAAGUAAAUAUUGUGCUGUGUAUGAAGUAAAGUGCUAAUAAUCCAAAGAUCUCAUAAUGAUGGUAGAAAUUAGGUCUCCAGAUCUACAAAUUUGGCGCAGCUGUGUCGAUGUGAAUGCAACCAACAUGUGACUUCUGCUGUCAUGUCUGAAAUGAAAACAAAAUGCUUCUAAUCUCUGGGAUGCGCACUACAUUCAGUUUCUUCAGCAUAUUCAGUGGAAAAAUAUCCUUAAUAGACACUUCCAGCGUCAUCUUGGAGUUCAUGGAAGGAGCAGUACAUGCUGUAAUUUCAGUGCACACACACACACACUCACACACACACAUACCCACAGAGGAAAAAGUUAAAUGUGUUUGUAUAGCCACCUUGUAAACUUCCUAUAGUGUCAGGCAUUUUUAUGCAGUUUUAAAACAAUAUGAUAUUGUGAAAUAGUUUGGAAUGAAUGUUUAUUGGAGAGCCUGAACUAUACCUGUUUAUUUUUCCUAUAAAAAGAAUAUUUUGUAAUAUUAAAUAAUGACAUUUUUGAAAUUUGGAACAGGAUAAAAAUAUGGAACAUCAUCCUUAUUUCUAACUUUUUAUGGUGGUAAUAGUUUCAACUGGAAAUUCAAUCGAAAAAUAAGUGUCAAUCACUUUUUCGUUUGGACACAUUAUUAUUCAUAUCUAUUUGCCACUCUGUAUGUUAAUAUGUGAUUGUUUACUUUGGACAAACUAUGAUGUGAACUCAUGUAUAUAAUUUAUUGUUGUCAUCUGCUAUUAUUAUUCUAGAUUGUUGAGAGUUUUUCUAUUGUUACUACAGCUGUCCUAUAUACAUUAAUAUGGCUAUACUGUCAUUGUUAUUAACUGAGAACAGAAACUGGUGCUGUAAAUGGACCUUUAAAACAAUUAUAUUUUCUCAUCUCUUUAGGAGCUUUAUGUUUGACAUCUCAAAACACUGCAUAGACUUGAUACAGUAAACCAAGAGAGAGAAUAUAUAGAGGGCAGGUGCCAAUGUGUUUUACUUGUUCCAAAAUCAGAAAUUAAUAAAUAACUUUUUGUUAAUUUUUAUAGCCAGCCAGCCUGCAGUUGUAAAUUAUUUGGUACUGAACAGCUCCUAUAAAGCAAAUAAAGUAAUUUUAGUGAUCUGCAAGAGCAGAAAAAGAUAAUUAACCUCUCUGCAAAGGGGUGUUCAUCACAUGUGUUGGAUUAAUACUAAGGUCUAAAGGCACAUUUCGAAAUAUUCUUUUCUGUACUCAAAAUUCUCCCUGAUUUACAUAACAAAUUGGUAAUGACUGCCCAUUGAGUUUCUUUUUGAUGUUCACUUGUGAGAAAGUAAAACAAAAAUGAUUGUGUUUUGUAGUCUACUUCAUCAAAAUUCCUCCACAUAUGUACACAAAUUUAAAUAUGACUUACUCCAAGUUGAUAUACAUUUACUGUUUCUCAAUAUAUAGAUCAUCUACAUCAAUAUAAAACUGUGUGAGCAUGUAAAACAGUUUUACUUUCAACUACAUAAAGAAGUACGUUUACUUGAUGUUAGAUGUAAUGAUGUUAAAUUAGGUGUAGAAAACACAUAGUUUUGAUGACAUAUAAUGAAUUCAUAAAUAUAUUUCCCACAAAUUCAAUAUAAAUAGAUCGUAUUUGUCCAUAUUUAGCAGUCACUUUAUAUACUGGUGUAUACAACACUCUUUAAUAUGAAAUUUCUAUUGAUGUCAAUGUUUAAAGAAGAAAUUUAGCUUCAGUGUUUUAUAAUAAAAUUAUAUUCUAUAUAUAAUUAUGUAAUUAGUAUUAUAUCGCCGAAAAUCUACUAUUUUAGUAACAACACAGUUACUAAUAAACUUCUGUGUGUGUAUAAUAUUUCCCUAAAUUAUUCACACAGGCUUUGAAUGGCACAUUUAAUGGAAGAAGAUGGUUAUCUAUCAGAAUCAAAUAUAAAUUAAUAAUUGAAUCUUCAGAGAUAUUUAUAUAAACAAUUAUGUUUUCUAGAUGUUUUAAUUGAGGGAAAUAAAAUGUGAAUGCUUUUAUGAAAAAUGUAAUGAGAGGCUAUAACCAUAAUAGCCAUUAUGAUCAAAUCAAAGAAGUUUCUAAAGCAUUGAGUACCAUUCUCUUUCUGUUCACAAGACUUCAAUUCUUCUAUUGCGUCCAUUUGCUGUAAAAAUAUUAUCAGAAUAUUUUUUAUAAUGUACACAGCAUGCCAAUCAUGGUCCUUAUACUUUUUUAAAAGAAUUGAUUUUUGUACUGUUGUACUUUAGAAACGCAAACUUUUGAAAAAUAUUAUAGUUUCUUGAAGCCAAUAGCUAUAAGAAUUUAAAAGUAUUCACAAAGUAAUGAUGAAGAGGACCUUCCAUUAAAACCAAAAUUGUCAAUGACACAUCAGAACACCCAUCCGAAUUAAUUAUUAUAAUGUACUUAUUAAUGUUAUAUGUCAAUGGUAUAUGUGGUAGUGUGAAAUAUUAAUAUGUACGCUGAUGCAGUGUGUAAAAGGCUAAGUUGUAUGUAAAUGCUUCAAAUUUGUGCAUGUAGUAUUACCUACCUAAUUCAAAAUAUAUAGUGUUGUUGUCUGGUUCAAAACCAACUUUAUGUUGAAAAGUCUUAGUUGGGAAUGAAUGUUUGUUUUAACACAGAUUGCUUGGAGGAUUUGUGAUAUCUUAUUCCCUCCUAUUUAUGUGCUAUGACCUCCUACAUAUUUUGUAACUGCUAUUACAGUUGUAAUAUUAAUGAAACUAGUAGCUAUUAAUUAAAAUAUUUUCAAAUAUAUUAUUUAGCUUCUUUUAUUAAUAAUCGAUUUCAUUUUACACUACCCCAUUACUGUGACCUGCCAUACCAGUACAAAAUACUUAAAUGACAAAUCUGUAAGAAUGUGAUAUAAAAUACUUUGUAAUGAAUACUUGAAUAAUAGAGAGGUAAAGUAAGUGAUAAUUAUCUUUAUAAUUCUCAAACUCUUCAUCAAAUAAUACUAAGAGAUACCAUUCCAUAAUUGAACCACUCAUAAAUUACAAUUCAUAAAGCAUACUCUCAGAGCAUAGAGAGUUUUUGAGGAAUGAAACAUAAAAGAGAAUGAAAAUACGAUUGCUUUGAGCUUUUACAUCUAUUUUCCACCAAAGAAAGAUAUUUAUUAAUGUUAGUACUUAUAUCAAGCUGCGGGCCCAUUGCAAACAAAAUUACUAUGAUAUUUGUUACAUCAUUUAGACACUUUACGACAUACCAACAAAAGAUGGAGUUUUAUUUUAGUUAUGAAUAAUAACCAAAUAAUAGUUAGUAAGAAAUACUGCUUAGCUUCUUAAAGUCUAAUAUCACUGUUUAAACAGUUCAAAUUGUUAAUGGUUUCUAUUUCUAAAUGCUAUUUUCAGUAGUAUAACAUGAUGUGGGAGGUCAUGUGCAAAUGACAUAAAACACUAAGUAUAACAAUAGAGUAACUACAACUGACUUAGCUUAUUAUCCUGAUGAAUCAAAUAAUUAACAAAAUCUAUACAGAAGAAGUUAGAAAUAGUUUUCAAAACAACUCUCAUGAGAGAUAUGGUUAAGACUUAUAUCUGUCCAACUGUAGAAAUGACAACUUUCUUUUACAAGAGACAAAAAAUAUCUGCAGAAAAAAGGAAUGCUUAAAUCGUUAUACUUCAAUGGUUUAGUUAUUUAUAAUGUUUGGGCUUUAAUUUAUGUUGCACACAACACAUUGUUGGAGCACUGUAACAGAAAGUUAUGGGAAACUGAUUGGUCAACAUGUGUUGUUGGGGCUUCCCUUUUUCAUGGGUUAUUCAUUCUUACUUGAACAGCAAAUGACAUCCAGAACCCUUACAAAAGAGUAAAAUUAUAUGGAUCAUGUGGAUCCUUCACCAAGAGCCAUAUAUUAUCUCACUUUUGUUGCAGCAUAUGUAUUAUGCAGCACAAGAACUUAAGGUAUCACUACUAGCAACAGAGUGAGCCCAAAAUCACUGUGAGUAUUGUUGCCUAAUACAUACAAGAUUACAACAGUAAUUAAGAAAUGAAGUGAUUUUUUAAUGAUGCAAAUAAUAGCAGUCACUAUCGUAGUUGGUCCAGUCACAAAUUUAGGCAGAGAAGUGUCAUACAUUCAUGCACAAUAAAUAAAGACAAGUAUACUAAAGAAUUUUAGUAUUCAUGGCACGUGAGAUUUAUAAUCUAAACAUCUUAGCAGCAAAACUAGGUCCAGCACACAUUUUAAACUGGAAAUACUUCAAUAUUUGCCAUUUAAAAAAUGAAACUAGGCCCAUACUUUCCACUGAGCAGAAAGAGUAGCAAACAGAACCGUUACCAGUUUUUGAAAGGUACUUUAUACUCUUUACAUUGUGAAAUAAAAAAAAUCGUCAAAUAUUUACACAACAAGCAAAGAAAUGAGAGUGUUGUCUAACAUUAUAUAUAAUAACAUUUUGACUGUAUUUUUGUUCUUAAUUUUAAAUUUGACCAUCAAUAACUGUUGUCUGCAAGUAUCUAAAAACUCAGGGAAAACAAUGUGUGAGUUACGUACAGAGUAAAGUACUACAAACAGCUUGGUGUAAGUAGUGACACGCUGUUACUUUAUGUUUUUAGAAUUAUAUCUUCUAGCCAUAUUCUUACUUCAAUAAAACAUUGUUCAUGAAGUUCUGUAAAGAAACAGUGUCACACUAAAAGUAACAACGGAUGUCAGGCUAUUCAUAAUUCUGCAAUAAGGAACACCCUCAUAAUAAAAGCAUUAAUGAUAACUUGAGAACUAUAAAAAUGACAGUCCUUUCAUCAUAAUGAGUACUAAAUUUUUCUUUGACUAAUAGCAGUAUACAUAAGCACCAAGAAUAGGAUUGUGCAUACCUGUCCUUUAGCCCAUGUACAUUACAAGUAGAUAGCAGCAGUUACAUUGU